AAAAUUUGGUUUUAGUUUAUCAAUAGUUUUAAAUAGGAUUUGAUAUGCAAAGAAGGUAGAGGUUUCGCAAUCAGAAGAUUUUGUUAAGUGUGUACAAUAAAUUUUAUAGUUUUAGUUAACUAGGGUGCCAGCAGCUGCGGUUAUACCUUAAAAACAAAUUAAUCUGACAUAUUAUAAAAAUUACAAAUAGUAGAUUUAAUAAAUUAGUCGUGAAAAAGUAGAAGUUAUAUUUUUUGUAAAUAGUUUGAAAAAGGAGUAAAAACUAGGGUUAGUGGCCUACUAUAACCUGAGUAAAUUUUUUAAGGUAUUAAAAGUUUUAGCUCUAAACCUAAAAAACAUGGCAGUAUUUUACCCCUUGCAGAGGAACUUGAAUAUUAAUUAGAUACUCCCCCCUAUGUCUUACCUAAUUUUAUUUUAUGUGUGGUUGUUAAAAUAAGUAAAAAAUUAUAAAUUUUAAAUCAGAUGACAUGUAUAGAUAAUUAGGGUAAUUUUAGUUACAAUUAAAUAGAUUGAUAAUAAGAUAUCGGAUUUGCAAGUAUUAAAUUAAAAACAUAGGAAGAGGUUUUAAAAUGUGUCCAUAUUGUCCGUCGCUCUCAUAAAUGAGAUAAGUCGUAGCAAAGUAAGGAUUUUUGAAAAAGUCUUUGAUUUAACUAA
rnacentral:rRNA from 1 species